rnacentral:lncRNA from 1 species
UAGCAACUCUAACCCUUUCUACUGUUAGAGCAGACUUGCUGCAAGAUAUAAUGCACAGCUGGCAGGAUGAUCCUACACUUAAGAGUUUGAUUGAGCAAUUAGAACAACCUGGAGGGAAUGUCAAGGGGUAUACUGUAUCCACCAACAACUCAGAAGAUAUGGAAAAUUAGUAGUUGGAGCAGAUUCAGUUUUGCGACAUAAUUUGAUCCACUUGUGGCAUGCCUCCCCUCAAGGUGGUCACUCGAGCAUAGAUAAUACUCACAGGAUAUUGGCUUCUUUAUUUUAUUGGAAGGGUAUGAGAGAUGAUGUCGUGACUUACGUCAAGACUUGUGCUAUCUGUCAGAGAAACAAAAAUGAGACCAUUGCUUAUCCUAGAUUGUUGCAAGCUUUUCCUAUUCCCUCUACUACCUGGAGUAGUGUGAGCAUGGAUUUUAUUGAGGGAUUGCCUAAAUCUACGGAUAAGACUACUAUAUGAGUGGUGGUGGAUCGAUUAACCAAAUUUGCUUAUUUUUUUGCCUUAUCUCAUCCCUAUUCUGCCUGUGAUAUCGCCCACCUGUUCAUGGAUAAUAUCUUCAAACUUCAUGGUAUGCCUGCUGAAAUUAUUAGUGAUAGAUAUCCUAUCUUCACUAGCAAGUUUUGGCAAGAACUUUUUGCUAUUCAAGGAUGUCUCUCAAUACUUCAACGGCCUAUCAUCCACAAUCUGAUGGCCAAACUGAAGUUGUUAAUAGAUGUCUCGAAACAUAUCUUCGAUGCUUUUGCUCUAAUUCUCCGAACUUGCUCUUGCACCUAACUUUCCAUGUUUCUCUUCUCAAACCUUGCCAUGCUAUUCCUGAUAGCAUUUGUCACCCCUAGUUCUGAACAUAUCCAGUCCCUUUUGUCCACAGCCACUUAAAAUUCUGGCCCGAAGAUUAAUUUAGAAGGGAAGUAAGGCCAUCGCUCAGUGGUUGAUUCUGUGGGAUCAGUUCCCUGAAGAUCAGGCUACUUGGGAGGAGGCUCACGAGGUUAGACUCAGAUUUCCUUCCUUCCUUGAGGACAAGGAAGUGGUUGUCCAGGGGGACCUGAUACAAUUUACAACGGAACAAUAGAUAGAGCGGUUAGAAGUCGUUAAGGAUAUUUAUUGCAAUUACAAUUAAGUCCCU